CCAGACUCCUACGGGAGGCAGCAGUGAGGAAUAUUGGUCAAUGGGCUUACGCCUGAACCAGCCAAGUCGCGUGAGGGAAGACUGCCCUAUGGGUUGUAAACCUCUUUUGUCAGGGAGCAACGCCGGCUACGUGUAGCCGGACUGAGAGUACCUGAAGAAAAAGCAUCGGCUAACUCCGUGCCAGCAGCCGCGGUAAUACGGAGGAUGCGAGCGUUAUCCGGAUUUAUUGGGUUUAAAGGGUGCGUAGGCGGGACCUUAAGUCAGCGGUAAAAUUGCGGUGCUCAACGCCGUAGAGCCGUUGAAACUGGGGUUCUUGAGUGAGCGAGAAGUAUGCGGAAUGCGUGGUGUAGCGGUGAAAUGCAUAGAUAUCACGCAGAACUCCGAUUGCGAAGGCAGCGUACCGGCGCCCAACUGACGCUGAAGCACGAAAGCGUGGGUAUCGAACAGGAUUAGAUACCCCUGUAA
rnacentral:rRNA from 1 species